AUACUUACCUGGCAGCAGUGAUUCCAUGAUCACGAAGGUGAUUUCCCCAGGGUGAGGCUCGCCAUUUGCACUCAGGGCUUGCUGAUCCCUUGCAAUUUCCCCAAAUGUGGGAAACUCGACUGCAUAAUUUGUGGUAGUGGGGGACUGCGUUCGCGCUCUCUCCUA